GUAUCAUCUGGAGUGUCCGGCGCCAAGGGAAUCCGGUGAGACUCCGGGACUGACGCGCAGCGGUGAGGUGGACAGCAGGGCGAACACGCCACUGGGGAGCAAUCCCUGGGAAGGCGCCCUUCUGAUUGAAGCCGAGUCCGAAAACCUGCCGGACGCUCUGUCCGCGA
rnacentral:ncRNA from 2 species